GAUGUACUCUCCUGGCCGGUGAGAUCAAGCAUGGGUGAGACCUGGUGCACAGGAAGGCGACCCAUACUUGGUUUCAGAGGCUGCGAGAAU
rnacentral:pre_miRNA from 1 species